AUUGAACGCUGGCGGCAUGCCUUACACAUGCAAGUCGAACGGUAACAGGUUAAGCUGACGAGUGGCGAACGGGUGAGUAAUGUAUCGGAACGUGCCCAGUCGUGGAGGAUAACUACUCGAAAGAGUGGCUAAUACCGCAUACGACCUGAGGGUGAAAGCGGGGGACCGUAAGGCCUCGCGCGAUUGGAGCGGCCGAUAUCAGAUUAGCGAGUUGGUGGGGUAAAAGCCCACCAAGGCGACGAUCUGUAGCUGGUCUGAGAGGACGACCAGCCACACUGGGACUGAGACACGGCCCAGACUCCUACGGGAGGCAGCAGUGGGGAAUUUUGGACAAUGGACGCAAGUCUGAUCCAGCCAUGCCGCGUGCGGGAAGAAGGCCUUCGGGUUGUAAACCGCUUUUGUCAGGGAAGAAACGAGUUUCUCUAAUACAGAGACUUAAUGACGGUACCUGAAGAAUAAGCACCGGCUAACUACGUGCCAGCCGCCGCGGUAAUAC
rnacentral:rRNA from 1 species